CAGAAAGUGAGAAAUUGUUUGACCCAAACAGUUAUUUUAUAACCGCUAAUCCUUCAUUCAGUUCUAACAGGAGGAGGAUUCAAAGUUUGAAUUCGAAUGUAGGUCUCUUUUUCAAAUCCUCGCCUGGAGCAGGGCCACCAGUUCAAAUAUUGGGAAUUUCGAACCUUAUGCUUUGAUUAUUAUUUUUUUUUUAUACUUACUAGUAUAUUCAGG
rnacentral:lncRNA from 1 species